AUUGAACGCUGGCGGCAUGCCUUACACAUGCAAGUCGAACGGCAGCACGGGGCAACCUGGUGGCGAGUGGCGAACGGGUGAGUAAUGCAUCGGAACGUACCUUUCAGUGGGGGAUAACGUAGCGAAAGUUACGCUAAUACCGCAUAUUCUGUGAGCAGGAAAGCAGGGGAUCGCAAGACCUUGCGCUGAUUGAGCGGCCGAUGUCAGAUUAGCUAGUUGGUGAGGUAAAGGCUCACCAAGGCGACGAUCUGUCGCGGGUCUGAGAGGAUGAUCCGCAACACUGGAACGGUGAUACGGUCCAGACUCCUACGGGAGGCAGCAGUGGGGAAUUUUGGACAAUGGGGGCAACCCUGAUCCAGCCAUGCCGCGUGAGUGAAGAAGGCCUUCGGGUUGUAAAGCUCUUUCGGCCGGGAAGAAAUCGCACGGGCUAAUACCCUGUGUGGAUGACGGUACCGGAAUAAGAAGCACCGGCUAACUACGUGCCAGCAGCCGCAGUAACAC
rnacentral:rRNA from 1 species